rnacentral:rRNA from 1 species
UACGUAGGUGGCAAGCGUUGUCCGGAUUUACUGGGCGUAAAGAGCGCGCAGGCGGUCGUUCAAGUCGCGUGUGAAAGCCCCCGGCUCAACUGGGGAGGGUCACGCGAUACUGAUCGACUCGAAGGCAGGAGAGGGUAGUGGAAUUCCCGGUGUAGUGGUGAAAUGCGUAGAUAUCAGGAGGAACACCGGUGGUGUAGACGGCUCACUGGACCGUAACUGACGCUGAGGCACGAAAGCGUGGGUAGCGAACAGG